UGCAGUCGUACGAGAGUUUUUACUCAAGUGGCGGACGGGUGAGUAACACGUAAGAAUUUGCCUUUAGGAGGGGGACAACAACUGGAAACGGUUGCUAAUACCCCAUAUGCUUUCGAGUGAAACGGUUUUUCCGCCUAAAGAGAAGCUUGCGGCUGAUUAGCUUGUUGGUAAGGUAAUGGCUUACCAAGGCGACGAUCAGUAUCUGGUUUGAGAGGACGAUCAGACACACUGGAACUGAGACACGGUCCAGACUCCUACGGGAGGCAGCAGUGGGGAAUUUUCCGCAAUGGGCGAAAGCCUGACGGAGCAAUACCGCGUGAGGGAUGACGGCCUAUGGGUUGUAAACCUCUUUUUUCAGGGAGGAAUAAAUGACGUGUACCUGAGGAAUAAGCAUCGGCUAACUCCGUGCCAGCAGCCGCGGUAAUACG
rnacentral:rRNA from 1 species